CUGUCGGCGAGGUCGAGCGAGAGCGUGCAAGUCGGGACCCGAAAGAUGGUGAACUAUGCCUGAGGAGGUUGAAGCCAGAGGAAACUCUGGUGGAGGACCGUAGCGAUUCUGACGUGCAAAUCGAUCGUCAAAUUUGGGUAUAGGGGCGAAAGACUAAUCGAACCGUCUAGUAGCUGGUUCCCUUCGAAGUUUCCCUCAGGAUAGCUGGCGCUCUGUCGCAGUUUUAUCUGGUAAAGCGAAUGAUUAGAGGUCUUGGGGGCGAAACGCCCUCAACCUAUUCUCAAACUUUAAAUUGGUAAGAAGCCCGACUCGCUCGUUUGGAGCCGGGCAUGGAAUGCGAGUGCCAAGUGGGCCACUCUUGGUAAGCAGGACUGGCGAUGCGGGAUGAACCGAACGCCGGGUUAAGGCGCCCGACGCGACGCUCAUCAGAGCCCACAAAAGGUGUUGGUUGAUAUAGACAGCAGGACGGUGGCCAUGGAAGUCGGAAACCGCUAAGGAGUGUGUAACAACUCACCUGCCGAAUCAAUCAGCCCUGAAAAUGGAUGGCGCUGGAGCGUCGGGCCUAUACCCGGCCGUCGCGGCGGUACGAGCAUCGAGUUGGUGCGCUAGGCCGAGACGAGUAGGAGGGCCGCGGCGGCGGGCGU
rnacentral:ncRNA from 1 species